rnacentral:rRNA from 1 species
GGAUUAGUGGCGAACGGGUGAGUAACACGUGGGCAAUCUGCCCUGCACUCUGGGACAAGCCCUGGAAACGGGGUCUAAUACCGGAUAUCACUCUUGCAGGCAUCUGUGAGGGUCGAAAGCUCCGGCGGUGCAGGAUGAGCCCGCGGCCUAUCAGCUUGUUGGUGAGGUAAUGGCUCACCAAGGCGACGACGGGUAGCCGGCCUGAGAGGGCGACCGGCCACACUGGGACUGAGACACGGCCCAGACUCCUACGGGAGGCAGCAGUGGGGAAUAUUGCACAAUGGGCGAAAGCCUGAUGCAGCGACGCCGCGUGAGGGAUGACGGCCUUCGGGUUGUAAACCUCUUUCAGCAGGGAAGAAGCGAAAGUGACGGUACCUGCAGAAGAAGCGCCGGCUAACUACGUGCCAGCAGCCGCGGUAAUACGUAGGGCGCAAGCGUUGUCCGGAAUUAUUGGGCGUAAAGAGCUCGUAGGCGGCUUGUCACGUCGGGUGUGAAAGCCCGGGGCUUAACCCCGGGUCUGCAUUCGAUACGGGCUAGCUAGAGUGUGGUAGGGGAGAUCGGAAUUCCUGGUGUAGCGGUGAAAUGCGCAGAUAUCAGGAGGAACACCGGUGGCGAAGGCGGAUCUCUGGGCCAUUACUGACGCUGAGGAGCGAAAGCGUGGGGAGCGAACAGGAUUAGAUACCCUGGUAGUCCACGCCGUAAACGGUGGGAACUAGGUGUU